CCUACGGGUGGCAGCAGUGAGGAAUAUUGGUCAAUGGGCGGAAGCCUGAACCAGCCAAGUCGCGUGAGGGAAUAAGGCCCUACGGGUCGUAAACCUCUUUUGCCGGGGAGCAAGGGCGGGGACGUGUCCCGGCCCGGAGAGUACCCGGAGAAAAAGCAUCGGCUAACUCCGUGCCAGCAGCCGCGGUAAUACGGAGGAUGCGAGCGUUAUCCGGAUUUAUUGGGUUUAAAGGGUGCGUAGGCGGUCCGUUAAGUCAGCGGUAAAAUUGCGGGGCUCAACCCCGUCGAGCCGUUGAAACUGGCAGACUUGAGUUGGCGAGAAGUACGCGGAAUGCGCGGUGUAGCGGUGAAAUGCAUAGAUAUCGCGCAGAACUCCGAUUGCGAAGGCAGCGUACCGGCGCCAGACUGACGCUGAGGCACGAAAGCGUGGGGAUCGAACAGGAUUAGAUACCCGGGUAGUC
rnacentral:rRNA from 1 species